rnacentral:lncRNA from 1 species
CUUCUUGCCUGCUGCCACAAAGACGUGUCUUGCUUCCCCUUCGCCAUCUGCCUUGAUUGUGAGGCCUCCCCAGCCACGUGGAACAACUUUGCUGCUCUAUUGCCAAACUACUCAUAUCCCCCUGUUACUGUGAAACUUGGUGAAAUUCCUCAGGGAUUUUGAGACAUCAAAGCAAUCUCUCUAGUUCUGGAAAGACUGAAUUUGCAGCAUCUGCUGAAAUGAGGUAAGUGUUAUUUGUAAACAAAAUACUUAAAUACAGGCAUUUUGUAUAAAUUAAAACAUGUAUCUGCUAAGAAAAUUACAUUAUCACUUAACUUUGCAAGUAGUUUGCCUAAAUCAAAUCAGAAAUAAAAACGAAAACACUGGCAUUUUCUGUCAAAUGGUAAUUACGGUGACUAAAAGUCUUUAGAAAUAACUUUAAGUCAAAUUAAAAAUCUGCAUCCAGGGCCGGGCGCGGUGGCUCAUGCCUGUAAUCCCAGCAUUUUGGGAGGCUGAGGUGGGCGGAUCACGAGGUCAGGAGUUCAAGACCAGCCUGGCCAACAUGGUGAAACCCCAUCUCUACUAAAAAUACAAAAAUUUGCUGGGCAUGGGGGCGCGUGCCUGUAAUCCCAGCUACUUGGGAGGCUGAGGCAAGAGAAUCACAUGAACCCAGGAGGCAGAGGUUGCAGUGAGCCAAGACCUCCCCACUGCACUCUAGCCUGGUGACAGAGUGAGACUCUGUCUCAAGAAAAAAAAAAAAAAAAAAAAAAUUCAGCAUCCAGAUACUUUCUCACUAAAAAUGCCACAUGUGUUGUAAUCAAGUGGGGAAAAUGAAAACAGUCCACUGCACUUUAACCACCUAGUUGAAUUUAGCUACCUAUGCUUUAAAACUAUUAUUUCAUAAAAUAGGCUUCUGUUCUCUUUCACGGGUAGAAAACGUACUCUCUCUAACAAAUAUUUAACUAUGUACAAUAUGUUGUGUUAGAUCAUGGUUUUUGUAAAUGGUCCUGUCUAAAUUUUAAAUACAGGGAAAAUAUAUAUCUUCUUAAAUAUGUAGAAACUAGCCCCAUGGUUAUUAUUCUCAAAUAUGAAAGAAGUAAUUAAGGGCUGAGUACAGUGGCUCACACCUGGAAUCCCAGCACUUUGGGAGGCCGAGGUGGGUGGAUCCCCUGAGGUCAGGAGUUCCAGACCAGCAUGGUGAACAUGUUGAAACCCCAUCCCUACUAAAAAUACAAAAAUUAGCUGGGCAUGGUGGCACAUGCCUGUAGUCCUAGUUACUGGGGAGGCUAAGGUAGGAGAAUUGCUUGAAGCAGGGAGGCAGAGGUUACAGUGAGCCGAGGUUGCACCACUGCACUCCAGCCUGGGCAAAACUCCGUCUUAAAAACAAACAAUAAUAAAAUGAAUUUUUUUUAAAAAAUGAAAGAAGCAAUUAUGGAAUUGUUUUGUUAACUUGGUUAGUGAACAGAGCUCAUAAAAUGAGAAACAGAAGGUCACACUGGACCAAGGGACUGUAUGCAGAUUUAAAAAAAAUGAAUAACAGCUGCAUUCACAGUCAUUUAUCUCACACUUGUGCACUGUUGCCAAAAGAUGGAUUUUUACAAUAGAAAAAUAAGGGAGACUAAUAAUAUCCAAAGCCACUGUCACCAUUAAAAAACUUCAAACCUGGGCCUGGCACAGUGGCUCAUGCCUGUAAUCCUAGCACUUUGUGAGGCCAAGGCAGGUGGAUCACCUGAGGUCGGGAGUUCCAGUUCGAGACCAGCCUGACCAACAUGGAGAAACCCCGUCUCCACUAAAAAUACAAAAUUAGCCGGGUGUGGUGGCACAUGCCUGUAAUCCCAGCUACUCGGGAGGCUGAGCCAGGAGAAUCGCUUGAACCUGGGAGGCAGAGGUUGCAGUGAGUUGAGAUCGUGCCAUUGCACUCCAGCCUGGGCAACAAGAGCGAAACUCCAUCUCAAAAAACAAACAAACAAACAAACAAAAACUUCGAAGUUCACAUUUCUGUGUUGGUGAGACAGUAGCUUCAUCUUACCAUCCAGAAAACAAAAGUUUAAGUACUACAGUUCCAUUCCACUUCUCUAGCUCACUGAUAUUGUUAUCUAUAACAGCAAUCAUUCAGAGCCAAAUGCAUAUAGCUCUGCCUUUUGCCAUAACACUGAUAAGUUUGCUUUUGUUUGAAAAUAUUCAAAAUAAAAGAGAAAGACCAAGUUUUUCCAGCUGUGAGAAAAUAGGCAUCUGAUUGUAGGUUAUCCAAGGAUUCCAUGCAGUGUUUGUAUUUUUGUCUCUUUGAGACUUUCUGAGAAAAUAUUUGAUACAGUGCUCAGAUUUCAUACGUUAAGGCACUACAUAUUGAUAUUUUACACACAAAGACAAGCAAUGCUUUUCUGGUCCAACUCAACAUGAUUAAUCGUUCUGCAUUCAAGAAUAAAACAUUUCAUUUGUAAUUUUUUUGAGCUUUCACUUUUAAUUAAACAUAGGAUCAGGGCAUUAUGUAUAUUUUAUUUUUAUUCAUACUGGCCUAGGCAUUUUCUUCCCUAAUGAUUCGUAUUUGUCUUGUUAAAGAGAAGACAGAAAGAUUAUAUUUAGAUAAUGUGAUAAAUAUAAUAAAAGUUUGUUCUUUCAAAUCUUGAUAUAUUGUUCUGAUGUUCUGGUAGUUUCUUAAUUUCUCCCAUUUAAAUGUGUCGACUUUUUACAGGACAAUAAGAGCUAACAUUGAUAGAGUACUAACUGUCAGGUGCUUUACAUGGUUUAUAUCAUUUCUUCCCCACAAAAAACGUUAAAGUUACUGUUACUAUUCCCCUUAUAUGGAUGAGAACACUGAGUCGUACAGAAUUGACCUGACCACCCCACAUUUGCACACCUAUUAAGAAAGGAUGCUAGUCUGGGCUGUUGAACUAUGCUCUCUGCAGAAUAGGGUAGUGACACAUAUCUUCAUAAUAAUGUAGCUUCUGCACAGUUAGUGAGUUUUUGAAAAUAAGUUUCUCCAUAAAACUGCAUUACUUGGCUUAUCUUUCAGAUAAAAAAAUGAAGCUUUACAGAAUGAAAAGAUACAAAAUCCAUAAAAUGUAUGGAAAUAAGAAAAAAAUCUCUUGCUCAGCAACAACUUGGCAGAACCAAUCUGACCAAUGUAUAGCAAAUAUUAAUAUGUGAUUUGCUUUUCUACAUCUGCUGGUGUUUCACAAAGGACAAAAGAAAUAAUUGCAUAGAAAUUGCAUAAAAGCCAUAUGUUCUAUUAAUAAAAUUGACUAGACAUUUUCAGCACUCACCACCAAUGUCUUUAACCUUAUGAUAAUAUUAUAGUUGAUAUUUACCUUUUAAGAAAAAUACAAAUCACUGUUUAUUCCCUGAAGCUAACCUUACACAUGCUAAAUUAUUUAUGUAUCCAUUUUAAUAUGUAUUUUGCAUCUGACAGGACAACUCUCCUUAGGACCCUUUUACUGACCCACCUGUCAUUAUGAUGGGGUAAACUAUGUCACCUUUCUAGUGCACGAUGAAUUACAAAGAAGUUGUAAAGUACACCAUCCAUCAUGCUGGCACUAAGUAGGUUUUUGAAGUAGAUCUCAGAUAUCAGAAAUGCUGUUUAGACGGUUACCAGAAAGCACAAAUUGGAAGCUUACACAAAACGGUCCUAUGAUGAAUGGACAUGACAGCUCUUCCAAGAAAAGGGGCACUCCUCUUCUGCAAAUAACCUUGUCAAAAGCAAAAAGUUGUGGGAAGCUUUGCUGGCAGUCAGACUAGAAUAAUUUAAGAACUUGUUAAUGGCUCUGCAAGACAGAAAUUCAUGCAAACACAAUGUACUCAAAAUCAAAAAAAGAGGCAUGCCUGAAUCUUUAGCAGCAACCACUCAAGCUUGAUUUGAAUUAGGGAAUGAUUUAAAGUGAUACAGAAAAAUCACCAGCGCCUUAUCUAUUAGAACAUGUGAGUUUCAAUAAUAUAUCUAAAACAGGCAUAUAAAAUAUGUGCAGGUAUUGUAUAUGCAUAUAUAAUAGCCACCUAGAAAUUGCUUUUGAAAAUUAUAAUACUGAUAUAAUCUGAGUUUUAAGAAAUGAGUAUCAAUAGCAUGUGCUUUCUUGAUAUAGAUAUUUAAAUCAAUAUGUAUUUAGUAUAAUAGAUUUGCAUUAUUAAUACAAUCUUAAAAUAGUGUCUUUAUCUAAUUUGCAUAAUUAAUUUCUCAAAUUAUGUUCUUCAAAUACAAGGUGUAAGGUUUAUCCGUAUUGCAUUUUGUUUCCUUUAACAAUCCCUUUUGUUUAGCCCUAAUAUUUCAAACAUGGAGUAUAUUUCUACAUCUACAGUUAACUUUAUUUUCUCCCUUUUAACAGCUGCAUUUUAAAAGUUUUUUUAAACUCUUCUUUAUUUUAAAAAAGGCAGUUUUAAUACACUUACAAAUGGUGUCAGGAUACUAAAUAAGGACUUAGAACUAUGCAUAUUUGGAUAACUCCAGAAAUCUGCAGUAGAGGUUGAUUUUAUUUUAUGUGAAACAAAAGGAAAUUUAAAAACUUAAAACUGUUAAGAUAAACAUGUAGAAAACUCUCAGAGAUAUGGUUACACAGGAAUAUUUUAAAAAAAACACCCCACCCAGUUUCAUUAGCAAAAUGAAAAAAAUAAUUAACUUUUUAAAAAAUAAAUGAGUACUCUUUGAUAGUAAACAGAUAAAACCACUGGUUGGUUCUCUUAAGUUUUUCAUUUUUAAAUUGGCUCUUUCAAUACAAAGUCAAAUCCUUAGACAUAGGCGUGCAUUGCCUUAACUGUGAAAGAUGGAGACAUACAAGAAAGUGUUACUGAACCCUAUCUUAUCCCAAUUGUCCCAUAUGCUGUAAUAGAAAUUGUCAUACAACAUGCCCAGAAAAACAACACAAAAGGCCAUUGUUAUAGAUACAUACACACGUGCAUUAGUUUGAAAGUUAAAAUAUAGUGUUUUUAAGUAAACCGGCUUCUUCUUUUGUGUCCUCUAUUGACAAGAAAAAGUAAGUGAAAAAGAAAAAAAAUAAAGAAGAGGAAAGAACCACAUAUAUUUGGAUAAGAAAAACAACUGUUUCAUUUAAAGGGAUCUAAAAAGACAGCUACCGAACAUAUCGAACAUAUAACCAAAAUGCUGAGAAUACAACUCCCUUAUAACUUAUAAUUCUAAAUGGGAGAGAGGCUGGGGGUGGAGAACACCAUCGGUAUCCUGCGAAUUCACAUUUCUAGUUUCUAAGGUCUGAUGAUUUGAAAUUGUCAAGGAAAUAAAAAUGGUGCUCAAGUAAAAUUUAUGGAGGCUAACUUAGCCUCCACAAACAAUGACUGCUAAAUUUGAAAAAGAUAUUAAAAUACUUUAGGCCUGAAUAUAUUUUAAUUUUAAUCAAAUCAUAAUUAUAGGGUCCCUAUAAACUAAUCAAUCAGUGGCUGCUUGGAAUUUGGUGUGGCCUAAAAACAUCUAGAAGAAAGGGAAUAGGCUCAGUUUUUAAAAGUAAGAAGGUUGAAGCUAUAGAAUUUUGCAAAUUCACAUUUUUAACUUAUUUCUUAAAAUAUUAAACCUCUCUACAUAUUAGUAAUAUUACAUAUAUUUUAAACUAAAAAAUUAUUUUACAUUAAAAAUGAGAUGACAUUCAGUUGUGUGAAGGAGUCUAACAAUGGACACUACAUAGCCAAACAUUUAUUACUCUUACACACUACUUGAACGCAGGACACUUGAAGGUGAGGCUAUCUAAUUGCAGAAGUGUGAAAGAAUAAAGAAAAUAAAGGGCGAAGAAUAUUUAUAUAUCCAUCCUACAGCAUCAUCUGUUAGAAUAAAAGGGAUGAUUAACAUUUUUGUGAUUCAGCCUAGACUUUUACAAAAUAUAAAAAGCAAACAUACAAUUACGUACAAUACUCUGUGUCCAAUAUCUGCACAAAUAUCACAGGAAAGUGGAUUUGCCCAAUAGUGGAACUCUAGGGCCCAACAGAUUCUUCCAAAUGACCUUCUCCCUGACUUUCUUCCCUCCACCACCACCUCCAUUAUUAUGAGAGUUUGCUGGUAGUGAGUAUGAAUCAGAAAUUAGAAGUAUACAAUAUCUGUUAAUAUACCCACCCCCGCUUUUUCUUCUUUUUUUUUUUUUUUUUUUGAGAAGGAGUUUCACUCUUGUUGCCCAGGUUGCAGUGCAAUGGGGCAAUCUUGGCUGACUGCAACCUCCCCUCCUGGGCUCCAGUGAUUCUCCUGCCUCAGCCUCAGGAGUAGCUGGGAUUACAGGAGCCUGCCACCGGGCCCGGUUAAUUUUUUGUAUUUUUUUAGUAGAGACAGGGUUUCACUGUGUUGGUCAGGCUAGUCUCGAACUCCUAACCUCAGGUGAUCCACCCGCCUCGGCCUCCAAUGUGCUGGGAUUACGGCCUCCCCAAAGUGCUGCUAUUACAGGCAUGAGCCACAGUGCCCGGCCAGUAUUCCUUUUAAACCAAGGCAAACAAAUUGUUAUUGAAGGGUUCAUCUCCCAUGUUUCCCUUAUUAUGCAGUAAGUCCGGAGUAUAAAGGAGUCAUAGAAAUUUAAUUUUCCAGAUCCAGUGAAUCUCCCCAUUAUACAGUAAGACCAACAAAUACAUGCUCCCAUAAGGGCCUCGGAGAAGCUGCACAGUGAUAGGAUAUCUCUUUCCUUGGUCAGUGUGGAAACUGUACAAUAUGAAAGUGCACGGGCAUUGAGGGAGGGUUUUUGUGGUGAACCCGUAUCUAAGGAACUUAUUUAAAUAAAUUAGUUGAUUUAACCUUAUUCUACCUUCAAUCCACUGGGCCAGCGGGUUAUUACAGAGGGCCAUGCUAAGGAAAUAAGGAUACAAGUUGUAGUUUCAUGAGUUUUGCGUAUCUCCUUCUUCAAGGAAUAAUCAAUGUUCACCAGCGGAAAUUGAAAAGCAAAGAGAUGGGGAAGAUUCCAAGGAUCCACUCAAGUUCCUGGUGUUUUUGUGAAUGUUCUGUGUUUAAGACAUGCUUUUGUUUAGGAGAAGACAUGAGCUGAGCCAACUGGGAUAAAGAAGAGGUUGAAAAUGCGUAUGGCUUAGACAGAGUAAAGAGUUUUAGAUAAAAUAUCGGGGUAACUUUUAGAGUCUUGGCUUAAGGCCAAAGCUUCUGAAUCAAGGAAAGAGUGACAGUUGCCUUCCUCUAUUUUUAUUAAUAUACAGGUGUGUUACCAUUAUUACCUGCCAGAAAGAGCAUAAUAUUAAUCCAAUCAAAUUAUAUGAGUCCUACAGUAGAAAUAUUGCAGACAUUUAAUAUUAUAUUGAAGUUUAAUUAAUGGUAAGACAUUUCAAGGUGGUAAUAGUUAUAUGCAGCUCUUUGGCUAAAAGUCAAAGUGUGAUAUAUACAGAAUAGAAACGAUGCUGGACUGCCAGAAAAUCUGCCUCUCCCUCCCACUCCCCCAAGAUCUAUUAGGAACGAGCAUUUACUGUUAUUAUUUCAAAUAUUUAUGCAAAGUAAUUUUAAAUGAUUUAAACAUUCCAUAUAUCAAUCAAAGUUAAUAAUAAGUUAGAUUCUGAAACAUUUGUGCCAUUAACAACAGUCAGAAAGAUAACAUUAUUUCAUUGGUAUUAAAUGAGGCAAUCAACAGUUUGAUGGAAAAAAAAAAAAAACUAAGUGUAUUUUUUAAAAUUACACUUUUACAUAGAGUUAGAAAACUAGUCCAUAGAAAGGAAACUGUUGACCAAUUACACGUUGUUAUAUCUAACUUGUAUAUUGUUCUUACUAUAGGCUAUGCUCUGUCCUCCUAGAUUUACAUAUAUUUGUAAUUUUUUCUCACAACAACCUUAUGAGUUGGAACUAUUAUUGACUCCAAUACAGAGAUGAGGAAAUCAGCCCGUUUCCUCCCAACGGUUAAGUAACAGUGGUUAACUGGGGAGCUGAGAUUUAAAACUAGUCCAUGUGGCUCUAGAAGCCUUGCACUUAACCACAAUGCCAAAAAAAAAAACUGCAUCAUAAAUCUGCUGACCCAGAAAAGGUGAAGAACUAAUACACACCUGGCUUAUCACAUGUGUUUUCCAUCAUGAAAGUAGGGGCGCUGUGUUUCAAAUCUUAAAUGUGUUAAUAAUCAUAUCAAUUUUCCACUUAAUUUCUUUUGUGUGUGCACAAUCUCAAAACACAACCCUCUCCAUUUCUUUCCCUUUCUCUAUAUCAGUGUAUUAAAUUUUGCCUCUCCAAAGCUGUAGAAUGAAAUAGACUUGCACUAUAUGGACAGAGCAAAAUGUGAAUGACUCAGUCACACAUUCAACACCUUUGAAUUAAAUUUUUCUAACAUGUUUUCACUUUCAAAAUAUGACAAGAAAAGGGUCAGGAGGGCCACAUCUUCCUUCUCUUUCCUGGCACUUCCACACUGAAAAGAUUUAAUGGUUACUUUUGUAUGUUGCAUCUUGACAGUUAGUUCAAUUUAGAUGAAAGCUGUUAUUUUCUAAUUCCAUCUCACUGUAAAUGACAGAGACAAAUGGUCAUAUUACCUUGAGAGUUCCUUUGGCAGAAUAGGCUGCAUAUGAAUAGAGCAGGUCUUGGCUGCUAUCUUUUCUGGCUUCUUCACUGCAAGGCUGGCCAUUAGGAUGAAAGCAUUGACCACUGCUGCUCAGAGUCACAGUGCUGGGAGAAGGGCCUGGCAGAUCAAGCAGCACAGAGUAAUUUACAAACUGUACAUCUUCUAGGCCCAAAGAGGUCCACUGAGUCUUAAUCUUCUUUGAAAUUUCCAUGUCAUCUUCAUUUUUAUAUAGUUGUACCAAAUUUCUGAAAUAAAUUUGAAAAGAAAACUUUUUUAAAAAGGAGAAUACUUUAUUCUUUUGAGAUAUGACUGCUCAAUAUAUGAACAAUAUUAAUAGAUGUUGUGGAAUAUUGAAAGAUGAAUGAGACAGGACCCUAUCACAUGAAACAUAAACACAAAACAAAGUGGAAUGAAUUAGUUUCUUAAAUUAAGAACUGACGGCCCUUGUGGUAGCUCAUGCCUGUGAUCCCAGAACUUUAGGAUGCUAAGGAGGGAGGAUCGCUUAAGCACAGGACUAGCCAGGGCAACAUAGCGACAACCUCUGUCUACAAAACAUUAAAAAAUAAAUUAGCCUGAUGUCCUGGUAUGCAUCUGUGGUCCCACCUACUUGGGACACUGAGGUGGGAUGAUCACUUGAGCCUGGGAGUCGGAGGCUGCAGUGAGCUAGGAUGGAACUAUUGCAUACCAGCUUUGUCAACAGAGUGAGACUCUCUCCAAAGAAAAACAAACAAAUAAAACAAAACAAAACAAAAAAACCCACUAAUACAGCACUAUGGCAUUGCAGAGAAGAGUGAUAUUAAUGCUAACUAAAUCUUCUAUUAGUUCUGAUCCUUCUAUCAACAUCAACAUAAUACACUUAAAAGUCCAUUCCAAAAUCUAGGUGUCAUUCCAGUUGAGACAUUUCUUUGUUAUAGUUAAGGUGAUUUCAUUUAAAACAAUAUGAUUGACAUAUAGUUAUUGCUAUUUAAAAUAAUACAGAGAGAGCUGUUUAGAUACAAAUUUUAUGCCAAAUUACAUGAUGCUAUGAGCACAAUGUUUUCCAAUAAAACCGAAACAAAAACAGAGAUUGCCAAACCAAUGGGAAAUUAAUGUUGUGUUGUACUUUCUGUACUUUGUAUAUUUAUUUCUAUACCUAUCCCAUAAUCCAAUGACACGAUUUUUGCUUAUGACAUACUAGAAGCCAGACAAAUCUGUUAAAAAUUUUGUAUAGUACCUAGAACAGAAUCAGACAUGAGAACUUAAUAAAAAUAAUUUAAUCCUGAGAAAGUUUUUUUUUAAUUUUGUGGCUGAAAUAUUAAUAAAAAGGGACCUAAAAAGAAAAAUUUCCUUUUGGGGCAAAAAUGUAUCUUCUUAAAAGAAUCUUAUUGCUAUACAAGUUAUUACCUAAGUGUUUAUUUUGAUAUUACUGUUAUUUUUGCCCAUCACAUUAUUUUUCUCACUUACUUCCUCCAGGACCCUGUUUAUUCAACAACUCCUAAACUGAGCUUGUUCAACCUAUGGCCCGUGGGCUGCAUAUGGCCCCACGACAGCUCUGAAUGUGGGCCAAUGCAAAUUCGUAAGCUUUCUGAAAACAUUUUGAGACUUUGUAAAAGAUUUUUUUAAUUUUUAUUUGAGCUUAUCAGCUAUUGUUAGUGUUAAUGUAUUUUAUGUGUGGCCCAGGACAAUUUGUGUUUAUCCAGUGUGUCUCAGAAAAGCUAAAUGAUUGGACACCCCUGCAACAGUACAUGCCUGGAAAAGACAUAAGAAGCAGACACAAUAGUGGUAAAAAAGCAUUACACAAGAUAAAAGGUAAGUCUGAGGCCACAGCUUACAAGGUGGCCUACACAGGAAGAUGCAAUAAAAACAGUUUCUCGGUUAUCUCCUAUCUUUGUGAAGCUACUCCUAUUCAUGCUUUCUUCCCACUUCUUUUCUUCCUUCUUCUUCUUGUUCUUUCUUCUUCCUCUUCCUCUUCUUCUUCUUCUCUUCUUGUUCUUCUUCUUCUUCCUCUUCCUCUUGCUCCUUCUCCUCCUCCUCCCCCUUCUUCUUCCUCUUCCUCUUCCUCUUCCCCUUCUCCUUCUUUCUCCUUCUCCUUCUUCUUUUUAAAUAUCUACUUGGAUCAGUCAACAGUGCCACCUAAAUUUUAUGGAAUAGCUGGUGAGAAGAAUUAUAUUCUUUUUCAUUACCAGUAAGAGGGCUCUGCCUUCCACCUUGUUUUGUUGUUGUUGUUACUUUAUCUGUUCUCUACCUUUUCCUACCCCCUUUCUCCAUUGCUAUUGCAUUCUCUCUGUAUUUUUGGGAUAGAGCAGGUAAACUGAGUUAAAAACAACACAAUUUGACAGGAAAGUCAUUUACAAAGGUGAACCAAUACCUUAUUCUGUUAAAAUCCAUAUAAAAUGAGGUUUCAAAAUAUAUAUUUUAUUUAUACAAACAUAGCAAUAUAUCAGUAACAUUGACAGACAAAGAGAAGAAAAAUGCGAAGACUGCUUUAUAUUUUGUUUGCUCCUCUACACUGUUAAUUGAUGAACAUAAAUCCACCAGGGAAUGUGCAAGAUGUUUAAUCUGCCAUUCCUUUUGUUGGUCUCAGUUGCUUUAUGGUGCAAGCAACUGAAAACAUUGAAUGUUUAUACUAUAAGGCCUCGAAGGCAAAUGAAAUACUUCUUUUAGGGCUCAACUGAAGAAUUAGUAAUUUUUCCCAAUUGUGGAGGAUUUCUAAAUAUUUGUCAGUAUUAAGCUAAAAUUAAUGAGUGAAAAAAUGUAUACAGUCUUUACUUCACUUUUAAUUUAUGGGAUAUGUACUUUAUUACAUCAUUUUUAAUAAUAUGAAAUAAUUUAAACACAUAGAUAAUAUACAACGUAUACGAUGUAUAAAGAGUAGUGAAAGGAACCACCCAGGUUAUGAAGAAGAAGAUCUCUAAUAUUAUCAAAGCCCCAAGAAUAGUUUUUCUCUAUUCAAUCACUUACCUUGAUCCCCAGGGUAGCAUCAAUCUGACUUUGUUGCUUCCCAUUGUCUUUUUUUAAUAGGUUUAUAUACAUAUAUGUAUAUCUCUUUAACAAUUUCUUUAAUUAUAAGUGUUUUUACUUUUACAAAAUUGGUAUCUUAUAUAUGGUUUUCAUACUUGCCUUUUUUACUCAAUAUUGGGUGUCUGAGAUUCCUCCAGGUUUUUAAUCAGUUUUCCUAAGAUAAAUAUUUUGAAGUUGUUUUCAGCUUUUCACUAUUGUAAACAAUGCUGCACUGGAUAUUCUUAUUCAUGUUUCCUGAUAGACAUAUGCAAAAGUUUCUUUAGGCAAGGGAUUAUUGGUCCAUAAGGUAUGCACCUGUGUAACUUUAUUCCAAAAUGCCAAAAUGCCUUUAAAAGAUUUUUGAUUACACUCUUGCCAUCUUUUUAUGACAGUUCUACUUCCUCCAUUCCUCGCCAAUAGUUGGUAUUGUCCAUUAUUUUAUUUUACUUUUAAAUUUUAUUUUAUAUUAUACUUUUGUCAAUGUAGUGAGUGUAAAGUAAUAUUUCAUUAUGUGUUUAGCUCAGAAGUACAACUGCCGGAUUGCAGGAUAUACUAAAUAGUUUUCCAAGGCUUCCUUUACCACCCUCUGCUCCUGUAUCUAAUUUCCGCUCUACAAUGAGGGUAAAAUUAUAUCCCAUUGUGGUUUUAAUUUGCAUCUUCAUGAUUACCAGUGAGGAGCUUUUCAUGUAUUAUUUAGCUAUUCAUGUUUCCUUUCAUGUAGAAUAACUGCUCUUGUUUUUGCCUAUAUUUAUAGAAGUUUUUGUAUGUUCUGAAUAAUCUUUUUUAGGUCAUAUGUGUGGCACAUAUUUUAUCCUAGUUUUUGUCUUCUCUUUUUAUUUGCAAUGUAUUGUCUUAUGAUAAGCAAAAGUUUAUAAUUUUAAUGCAUAGAGCUUUUAAUAUAAUUGUUUUCACAUUUUCUGAUGUGCUUAAGAAAUCCUCAAUGCUGUGGUCAUGAAGUUAUUCUCAUUUUUUUUCCUAAAAAAUUUAAGGAGUUGUUUUUCACAUUUCAGUGUUUAUUUGGAGAAUGUGUGUGUAUGUGUGAGCAGGUGUGUGGUAGGAGGCAGGAAUCCAAUUUCCCUUUUUCCAACAUGAGUCCUAGUACCCCUUGUCAAAUAUGCCCCAUUAAUGUGCAAUGACAACUCUGUCGUAUAUGAGUUGCCAUAUGUGUUUGGGUGUGUCUGAGUUCCCAAAUCAAUUCCAUUUGUCUUUUUCUUCCAUAUCCAUAAUAAUGUGCCGUUUUCAUUAUUACAACUUUAUUAUAGGUCUUAAUAUACAGAAUGGGCAAGUCACACUACUUGUUCAUCAGGAAAUCUUAACUAUUUUCCUUUUAUCUUCCAUAUGAAUAUUGGAAUGAGCUCACUAAUUUCCAUGCCAACAUUGUGACUGGAAUUACAUUGAGACUAAAGAUCAAUUUGGGAAGAAAUGCCAUCCUUAUAAUAAUAUAUCAAUAAAUCCUUAAUAUUAUUGCUGUAGUCUGAAUGUUUAUUCAUAUGUUGAAAUCCUAACCCCCAAGGUGAUAGUAUUAAGUGUUGGGGUCUUUGGGAGGUGAUUAUAUUAUAUUAUCUUUCCAUCAUGUGAAGACACAGCUAAAAAGCACCAUCCAUGAGGGAGCAGGCCCUUACCAGAUACCACAGCCACUUUGAUCUUGAACUUCCCAGCCUCCAGAAUUAUAAGAAAUAAAUGUCUGUUGUUUACUAAUUAUCUAAUUUAAGGCAUUUUGUUAUAGCAGCCUGAACAAAUUAAGAUAAUGGUCAAGUGUUUGGUCAAUGUUAACAUAAAAAUAUGUUUUAAAAUUAAAAUAUUUCCUAUUGCUGGUGUAGUGGAAUACUAUUCAGUUGUCCUAUAAAGAAAACCUGCUAAACUCUCUUUUUAAUCAUAACAAUUUUCUUCAUUUUUUCUAUGUAAAACAAUUAUAUCACAUGCAAAAUAAUUAAGGUUUUAUUAUAUCUCUUCUAAUUAUUUAGAGAUUUAACUUUUUUUUUUGUUUUACUACACAGGCUAUGACCUCCAGAAAAUAUUUAAAGAAAUAUUAAUGUGUGAUAGUAGAUAUCCAUGUUAUAAUGUAUAUGUCAGGUUAAAGAUGUUCCUUCCAUUCUCAUGUUGUUAACAGCUGUUUUAUGAAUGCAUAUUAAAUUUUGUCAGAAAUUCCGAUACAUUUAUUAAGACAAUUGUAUGUUUUAUUUCUUUAAUUUGGUGGAUUACGUUAGUAAAUUUUUUAAAUAGUAAACUUGCAUUCCUAAAAUAAGCUGGACUACUAUAAUGAAUUAUAAUUUUAGCUAUCAUGUGAUAUAUUUUGCAAAUAUUUUAUUAUUUUCACAUCCAUUUUUAAAAGUAAAUUUGGCAUGUAAUGUUCCUUUCAACUAUCACUUCUGAUUUUGAUUUGUAAUAUACAAAUCUCACAAAAUGAGAUAGCAAGCCUUCCUUCUCGAUCUACUCUCUAGAAGAGGUUGGAUAUUAUUAGAAUUUUUAAAAGACAAACUUUUCUUAUACUAAAAAUUGUCUGUACUUGAUAUUCUCAUUAUGGGAGAACUAUGAACUGCUGAUUUAAUGAUUUUAAUUUAAGAAUUUUUUAAAAUGUAUUCUUUGAAUCACAGCUCUUUCAUUGCACUCCGUGCUAGCUUACAUAAAUUUUCUAAUUUCUAGGUUUCUGGUUUCAUCAUCUGCCAUAGUACUUUUUUUUUUUCCUUGGGAAUUUCUCUUAUGAUUCUGUCACCUCAGGAUAGUAGUCCUUCAAAGUAGUUAUGUUAUAAUGUAUUCAGCAUAUAUGCGUUUUUCAGAAUAUCUAUUAACAAAUUACUCAAAAUGGAAAUGCACUAUAACACCUUAGACAUGAUUUCUUUGUAGAUAUUGAUUGCUACUCCCACAAUAUCCAAGGGGGAAAACUCUGGAAAAGUAGUUAAGAAUUAUGGCCUAAGCUGUUUCUUCCACAGACUUUCAUAAUAGAAUAGAUACUUGUUCAAAAUUGAUUGAGGUGAUACCAUUUGGCACAUUAUCUCACCAAUUAGAGAUUAGAUUAUUCAAAUCUCCUACACUCUGGUUGUUGACUGGAUUCAAGGGAAUAUGAGCACACCUUUAUAGAAACCUAGAAAAUACAAGUAUAUCAAUAAAAAAUGCAUACUAAAAGAUGAUAACAAAGUUUUUGGAUACACAUGAUUGUAGAAAUACUGGUCUCUAGAAAAUAUGAUUUCUUCAUAAACAGUGGCAAUAUUUCAAAUAGUUAAUCAUAAGUUUAAAAAUAACUCUUAAAUUGUAGUCUUCCUAAGAUUACUUUUAAAUUCUGAUGCCGUUUAAAAUUUUAUUUUAAAUUUAUCAAGUUUAAUGUACAUGCUUCUCUUGUUUAAGAAAAUGAUUUCAGGAGAUCAUAUGAGUUCAUAGUUCUACAAUUAUGUAAUUUUUAAAUUGUUUUAAAUCAGCCUUCUUUGACACAGUCUUACAGCUACAAAUGGUUUAGUCAAAGGGUUCUAUUUAUUAAUCAUUUCAAAUCAUUUAGAAUGUUAAAAUAAAUAGAUUUUAUUGAGAAUGUCAACAGUUUAUUAUACAUUUUUUCCCCACAAUAAAUGUUUCAGGAUUUAUGGUGAACCACUCUGCUAUAAUUAGGUAGUUUGCUGUAUUAAAUGAGAAAUUCUAUUAAAGAAUUAACUGCAAUAUAAUCUAAGUUUACUAAUUUCAGAGAAAUUUGCAAAAAUUGAAGGGUAUAACCUAAAAUCACACGGUAUUUAUUUGACAGAGUGUUUUACUGUGCUUUACUUUUUAAAAUAAGGGUUUCCACGGGCCAGUAGUUUUGGCAGGCAGCAUAAUGAACUGUCAUGCCUAAGACUUGAAUUUGGAAGUAACUUUGGCAUUAAUGUUCCAUUGGCCAAUGGAGAUUAGAAAUGGGAGAAUUUUGGCUUUAGUAGACAAAAUUCUGUUUAUAUCAAUGUUCAACACCUGCUACUGUAUGAGCCACAGAGCAACAGUGAUGUCAGAAUUGGAGGAAGCCAGGCAUGUAGUAUUCCUAACACCAGGUUGAAUGCCAAGAGUAUACUGUAAAUGAAUGGGGAACAAAAACAUCUAAAGAACGAUGAACUAGAAGUACACAUGGAAAAAAUCAGCACAUUUAUUAAUGCCUAUUAACAUUUUCUUAUGUGUAUUUACAAUAACAUAUGCAGAUACUCAUACUAUACCGGGUGAUAUUUCUAAUAUAGUAUUAAAAAGUCAAACAUUUCAUUAGGUUGUUAUUUGAAUUGGUAUCCAAUGUAGUAAAAUUCUGCUAAUCAUGUACUAUAUAUGUGUGAUAAAUUUAAAGAUUACAUAGGAUGAAAUUACCUUUUAAUCUCAUAAUUUUGCUUUGAAAAUAUUAAGAUUAAAACACAUGAUAAACUGUAAUAAACAUAGCAGCAAGGAAUUAAAUGGUUGAGAGGGAAAGGCAGCAUCCCGUAGCCUUCCCUUGCAACAGAGCCACUAAUGGCAUGCCAAUGAAACAAUGGUUUCUUGUUCAACUACUUCUUACCUUCUAAAAUAACAUAGUAACUACAAAUUUUAUAUUAAAUGUCUACUAUUAUGCUUAAUCAUCACAAAAAACUCUUGAUAUAACUACUAUGGUUGCCACUUUACAGAUAAGGAAAUUGAAGGCUAGAUAAUGCAAUCAAGAUGUUGAACGUCCUAGAUUAAAUAAGUCAGUUUUCUACUAUUCUACACUGAAUCUCAGAUUUCCACUAUACCGUGCUAUUUAGAAAAAGCAGCUAGUUUCCCAAUCUGAGAUGCUUUCCAAAAGCAAUAAAAAUGAUGAGUGUUAGAAAGCACUGUAUCUGGGUAAAAUAAAAGUUAGAUAGUAAGAGGUAGGUGGAAAUAAAUCUUUAUGCUCAUGAGAAAAUGAUGCUCAGGGAAAUUAAUGUAGCAAUGUAAAAAAUACAAUAGAAUGAAUUUCACAGUUUGGGAACCAUCUGAACAAAGAAGAAGAAAACAGAUUCUUUAUACAUUCUGUUUAAAAAUCAGUUCAGAAAUGGAUUAUCUGCCAGAGAACGUAAUAGUCUCUCCUCUUCUGAUCAACGAAAAUAUGGUACAUAUCUGCCUGCUCUACAAGUAAUAGAAGGCAUGCUGAUGGGCUCAGUGCCCUCUACUUAAGUCCCAGGCAAAAAGCUGAUACUCAACAAAUACUUUAAUUGAUUUGGUAUUUAUAUCAAUUUAUGUUCCACGUGACAGUAAGAUAAGCUUGAUUUAAAAACCAGAGCACACAGAAAUAUAACAAACUGUCAACACAUCUACUAUUACCUGUGCCAGAAAAAAAAUCCAGUAUUAUAACUCUACAUCUUUCACUCUUGCACACAUUUGUGCAGGAGAUAAUUUCAUCUCUGGUUAACAGUGAGUGCAUAUUUGGAUUUCAAGAGAGAAGAACACAAUAGGGUAUCUGAAAGCAGACUCACGGAAUGGACAAAUUAAUCCAAUCAGUAAGACAAUACGAGUCUUCAAACUUGGGUGGUCAAUACACAGAAACUUUUGAUAAAAAGAGUCAUUAUUUCUAUUUUUUUCAAGUAAGUGAAUAGAUAACUGAAUAAAUAAUUGGGAGAAAGUUUUUCCAUUUUGAUAAGAUUGUAAUAGAAAUGACUAGCCUUUAUCACACUUCAAAAUAAGCAUAUUUACUUUACCACACUUCAAAAUAAGCAUAUUAAACACUAACAAAGAUUCCCUUUUCUUGUCAUUAACACAAAGAUUAUUAAUCUCUUUCAGUAAUCUUAAAAAAUUAAGCGUUUUAAAAGACAGGUAGUAGUCUUACCCUUUUUAACACAUCCUGAAAAUUCAACUAUAGAAGUCUAGCACUUAGUAAAUGGUAACCACAAUCAAUGUUCAGGAAAUAUUUUUUACUAAGUAAAUAUACCUUUAAGACUAUAUUGAAAACCUAAUUUUAAGAUGUUAUAUACUUAUUUUAGUUUAUUUUCUAAUACAGCAAACUGAAUCUUGAGUUCUUCUGCAAGACUGACUAAAAUGUAAUGGUAAUUUUAUAUAAUGGGGAAGAUAUAUUUUUAAAAUAAUUUUUAGAUGUCAUCUCUCUGCGACAAUGCAAACAGGUUAAGAUUAUGCCAGAACAAUAAAUUAUAAUGAUUAUGUCAGAACAAUAUUUAAAACUAGUAAGAACUUACAUGUUAUUUUUCAGUUGUUAGCCCAGACUACCUUCCUUCCUGGGCAGACUCAUUUCAGCACCAAACACUGAAAUCAUCUCAAUUAAAUCAACUUGUCUUGACAUGUCAGGUUACAAAAAUCAUGAGACAACUAACUUUUAACCCACCCAAACUUAUGAAAUACAUCGAAAUCAAUCUGUAGAGAUGGCUGGCCUUUGGAAGUAAUGAUAGUAUGAAAACAAAAACGAAAAUUAUAAGUUCUAAAACAAUAGAGAUAAAACGUGUUUUGAAGCAUGUUACACAUUUUGGUAUUCGAAUAAGUUAUUUACGUGCUUCAUCUCUAUUGUAUACAUGAAGAAAGAAAAAAGAGGUUUCUUGCUAGACCAGAAAUAAGCUGCAUUGACAAUGGUAUAUUUCUGAUAUACAUUAUUCCUAUCAGGCCAGGACCUAGUCUACUGAACCUAAUGAAUUAUCCAUGAUACCAGAAGAGCAGACUUUCAGCAAAAGUUUGGCAGUGGGGAGUGGGUGGGUGGAGAUGGGAGUUUUGGGAAGAGGAGGAUGGAGAGUAAAAUAAUUCUAGAUUUUGGAUUCAGCAAAGGAGGGCUUAACCUCUGGUUUAAGCAUAAAAGCUAGAUGAUCUUAUACAUAUUAACACAUUCUAACCCUUGUUAGUCCAAGCUGCACCAUUUUGUAAGUCCUCAGCCAUUUUGCAGGUCCUGGCCACAGUCAAACAUUUCACAGGGGUUCGGGCUGUGAGACACAUCCUGCCCAGCCACCUGACUUCCUUAUCAUAUCCUGCUGGGCAAACAUCCCAGGAACAUCCUAUCACAGUCCGCUGGAAACAGGGCCAAACUGCCUGAUCAUAAGAACAUCUAAUCAAUAUCCUCCGGGCAGCAAGCCAAACCGCCCAGACUACUCCCACCCAGACCUAUAAUUAUCCCAGUCUGUAGGCCUCAGUGGGCUCUGACAUUUACCUGGUCCCCACCUCUGCAGGUUGCGCUUGCAAUAGACCUGUGUUGCUGUAGAGCCGCCAACUCUCUCUCUGUCUUUCUUUAACCUUCACCUUCUCUUCAAAACUUAAACCUUAGUUUCAACAUUGUAAUUGUCCACCCUCAGUUUCAACAUUGUAAUAUGUUGAACAGUAACAUUUUAUAGAGUUUCUUAGAGCAUUUAGAGUUUUUUAGAACAUAUGUAAAGUCCUUAGCAUAGUCUCUAGUACCUCCAGACAUUUACAAAUGUAACUUCCCUUCUUCUCUUUCUUUCCUAAAUGAUUUGUCCCAAGUACUGAGAAUAUUAUAAAAACUGCAUCAGAAAAUAUACUUGAACUUAGCUUCAUUUUAUGGUUGGACUUAUAAAGCUCCUAUUUGACAUCUUUCUUUUUAAUUCAAAACAGUUCAUGAUAUUUUAAUGUACAGUUCUAGACACUGGAUUCAAAUUUUUAUAUACUUUCUUGUGGGUAUAUAUCCAAAGAAAAUUAUAUCUUUAUCUCAAAGAAGUAUUCACAUGCCUAUCUUCAUUGUAUAGUUUUUCAUGAUAGUCAAGAUAUGAAAACAACCCAAGUGUCCAUCAGUGGAUGAAUGGGUAAAGAAUAUGUGGUAUCUAUAAAAUGAACUCUCUCAUUCAGCCAUCAAAAUAAAGGAAUCUUGCCAUUUGUAACAAUAUGGAUGAACCUGGAGGAUACUAUGCUAAUAUCGAAUUAGCCAGAAACAGAAAGACAAGUACUGCAUCAUCUCAAUUAUGUGAAAUGAAAAAAAAAAAAAAUCAAACUAAUAGAAUCAGAAUGUAGCAUGGUGGUUGCCGGGAGGUAGGGGUAUAUGGUGGUGGAAGAAAUGGAGAGGUAUUGAUGAAAAGGUACAAACGUUCAGUAAUAAGAUGAAUAAAUACCAGGAAUCUAAUGUACAAAUUCGUGACUAUGGUUAAUAAUAUUUUAUUAUUUACUUGAAAUUUGGUAAGAGAACAGUGUCCUUACCACACACACACACACACACACACACACACACACACACAGAGUAACUAUGGGUAGUGAUGAAUGUGUUAAUUAAUUUGAUUGUGGUAAUUAUACAAUGUCUACAUAUAUGAAAUCAUUAUGUUGCGUACCCUAAAUACAUGCAAUUUUGUCAAUUAUACUUCAAUAAAGCUGGAGGAAAAAUACCACAACAGGUUGAAUGCAGAAACACAUAUGAGAAUCUAGCAGUGUUUUAUUAAGCCAGACAGUAAAGAGAUUUGAAAAAUAUAAAACAAUGCCACUCUUCUCUCUAAAUGUUUUUUCUUUGAAAAAUAUUUUUUCAUAAAAUGUUGUAUUCUUAACAUGUAAUGGAAUUUUUAUUUUUUAAUAAAUUAAUAUCUUUUUAUAAUUUGUUUUAAUCCCAUAUAAAUUAAAUAUGGACAUAUAUAACUUUCAAAAACAUAAGCAGUUUGAAGAUCUCAAUAGUAUGUAAGCAUGUAAAGGAGUCCUGAGGCCAAAAUGUUGAGAACCACUGCUCCAUUUCAUGUUUCCUGUAGACAAUAAUGGGAGGUUUCUAAGAAUACACUGAAUGACACACGUUUUCCUGUUCUGCUUAUGGACAUGCCAAUUAAUGAAGGUUGGCAGAGCAAGCUGUCAGGAUCAAGUCUGAAAAAUAGCUGAGUAGGAAACAUUUCAGAGAAUUUAAAGUUUUCCAGUAAUACUAGAGAUGUUGAACCUUUUUUGAGUCUAGGUCACAAGAUGUCAUUGUGUGAAUGUGAGUGCCUAGAUUCAUACCACCUACUAUGUGUAAGUCAUACUAAUCUAGUUCAUGAAAGCACAAAUAGAAGGCUAAUAUAUUCCCAGAUUUAGAAACAAACAAAUGUAUUAUAACUCUCACCAUUUCAACAAGUACCUAUUGAAUAUCUACUACAUCUAAGGAAAUACAAAAGAUUCUGUAUGGGAGAAUCUGGCAAAACCAUCUUAACUUCUUUGGCAAUGGUCAACUCUUACCUACACUGUGCCAAGUACAUUUUUCUGGACUUUGCCAUGGGAUACCUAUUCUCACACUCAUAUUCAGCUAUAUUUUUUUUCACAAAAAUAACCACUGACACUCUGGGAGGCCAAGGCAGGUGGAUUCCCUGAGCUCGGGAGUUCGAGACCAGCCUGGGCAACAUGGUGAAACCCCAACUCUACUAAAAUACACACACACAAAAAUUAGCCAGGUGUGGUGGUGAGCACCAGUAGUUCCAGCUACUUGGGAGGCUGAGGCAGGAGAAUGGCUUGAACCUGGGAGGUGGAAGUUGCAGUGAGCCAAGAUCGAGCCACGCACUCCAGCCUGGGUGACAGAGCGAGACUCCAUCUCCAAAAAAAUAAAUAAAUAAAUAAAUAAAUAAAUAACCACUGAAUAUCUACUCUACAAAAAUAAAGAAAUAAAAAUAACCACUGAAUAUCUACUACUGGAAGCCAUUGUGUAGCUGUAGUGGUUGAGUUAUUAAAUAAAAACAGAUAUAUUGUCCUGAUAUCUGGUUAAAUAAGAGAGGUUUCACAACUUAUAAAGCAAAACUUGAAGGUACCAAAAAAUGCAAAUCAGCAAUCAAAGUUAGAAAUUUUACCAAACUCCUCUGUACAUAAUAGAAUAAGCAGAAAAAGAAAAACAAGAAAAUAGAUGAGUCGACCAAUUUGACAUAUACAGAAAAGUAUACCCAAUAACUUUAUAAGUGCACAUGAAAUGUUUACAAAAAUUGCCUAUAUGCUAGGCCAUAAAGCAAGUCUCAAUACACUUCGAGAGGCCAAAAACCACACAGUAUAUAUGCCAUGAACUCAAUGGAAUUAAGUUAGAAAGAAAUAACAAAGGAGUAGAAAAUCUUAGCUUCUUGGAAAUUAAACAAUGCCUUCUAAAUAACCAAUAAGUCUAUGGUGAAAUAGAAUACUAAAAAAUCUUUUUUUUUUUUUUUUUUAAAACGGAGUCUUGCUCUGUCAUCCAGGCUAGAGUGCAAUGGCACAAUCUCGGCUCACUGCAACCUCUGCCUCCUGGGUUCAAGUGAUUCUCCCACCUCAGCCUCCCAAGUAUCUAAGAUUACAGGCACUCGCCAUCAUGGCUGGCUAAAUUUUUUUGUAUUUUUGUAGAGAUGGAGUUUUACCAUGUUGGCCAGGCUAGUCUUGAACUCCUGUCCUCAGGUGAUCUGCCCACCUCAGCCUCCCAAAGUGCUGGGAAUUACAGGCUUGAGCCACCACGCCCAGCCUAAAAUAUCUUGAAAUGAAUGAUAAUGGAAACAUACCUAACAGUACUUGCGGGAAUCAGCUAAAGCAGUGCUUAGAGAAAUGUAUUGCCUUAAGCAAAUGUAUUUUUUAAAAAUGAAAGAAAAAGAUAAACGAUCUAGAUUCAAUUUAAAUAAAUUAGAAAGAGGCAAUGAUAUAAAAACUCAAAUUUUUAAAAAGGAAAUAAAAAUAAUAGCAAAAAUGAAUAAAAAUGAAGACAAGUAUACAGAAGAAAAACUCAUCAAAGGGAAUUACUGGCUAUAUAUUUGAUCAGCUCUGAUAAUACUAUUCAUGAAAAGAAAAAGAAGGAGGGAGAAGGCACAAAUUAUCCAUCUUAAGAAGAAAAAGCAAGGCAUCAUAAAAGAUCUUACAGGUAUUAAACAGAUAAGAAUAUAUUUUGACAGGAAUUAUGGCAAUGCAUUUAAAAAUUUUGUAAAGUAGAAAAAUGUCCUUAAAAAUCUAAGUUAAAAAACUGUCACAAAAGAAAAUCUAAAUAUUCAAUAUCUACUUAAAAAUAUAGUUAAUUAUAAUAUUAUAUCCUUCCCAGAAAAAAAAACUUUCCAAACCCAGUUAUCCUCUAGAUUGUUUUACAUAUUUCAAAAAGAAAUCAGUUAUAACAGACACAUGCAAGAAUCAAUAAAAUGGAAUUGUCCAAAACUUUUUAUGAGGCAACAAAACUUUGACAUCAAAACAUAUCAAAAAUAUUACAAGAAAAAUUAUCAUCAAAUAUCCUUUAUAAAUAUACUUGUAACACUUACAAAUAAAAUAUUUAUAAAUUGUAUUUAUAUAAAAAGACAAGUGCAUUAUGACCUGGUAGCAUUUGUUUUAGUAAUGCAAGGAUGAUUUAACAUUCAAAAAUCAAACAUUCUGACUUACCACUUUAAAAAAGAAAGAUUAUUUCCCUAAGUUUGGAAAAGAGCAUUAAAAUAACAAACAAUUAGAAAAUUAAAAUUUUAAGAAAAAAUAUUAUUUAUGAUAGCAUUAAAAUAUCAAAUACACUUGUUGAAAGAUAGGCAAAAAAAAAAAAAAGAAAGAAAACCACAAACUAUUAUUGAGAGAAAUUUUAAAAGACUUCAGCAAUUGGAGGGAUAUAUCAUGUUCAUGAGCUGGAAAACUCAAGGUUGUAAAGAUGUCAAUUGUUCCCCAGAUUUGACUUGCACUAUGAUGCCAAACAGACAAGUAGAACAAAGCAACAGAAUAUAGAGUACAAAAAGACUAAAACAUAUGUAAUGAUAUUUCAGAUGAAUCAUAGAACUAAAUUAUAAAGGUAAACAGUAAAGAUAACAAAGGAGAACAUCUUUACUAUCUUGGUUAGACAAAAGAGAAACCGCUAACGAGGAAGACAAAACUGACAAACUGGAUUUCACUGAAAUUAAAAAGCUAUAAUCAUUAAAGAUGCCAUAAAAGUUUGAAAAUGUAAUCAAUAGAGUUCAAGAUAUUUGUAUUAAAUAUAUGUAAUGAAAGACUUUCAUCCAGAUAAUAUAAACAUCUCCAGAAAAAUUAUGAGAAAACUCAAUUUUUAAAAUGGCAAAAAGAUUUAAGGUGGUCUCCCAGAAAAUAGAAAUAGUUAUAUGAACAAUAACCAUUUGAAAAUGAGGCAACAUAUUUAGUUACCAAGAAGCUAAUUAAAAACACAAUGACAUACUACUACCAUAAAACUCAAACUAAAACUAACAAUACCAACUGUUGGCCAAAUAUGGACUAACUAGAUUUCUCAUAUUCUGCUGGCAAGAAUAUAUAAUAGUCUUUAGUAUAAACCCAACAAAAAUGCAUAUAUAUGUAUAUGAAGACAUUUACUAGAAUAAUAUAUAACAUUACUCACAAGAGUAAAAAACUGGAGCUGACUCAAUUGUCUGUUAGUAAUAAAAUGUAUAAAUAUUUGGCCACAUAUUUAUAUAAUAAAAUAUUAUACAGUAAUAAAAUGAAUGGCUGGGCACGGUGGCUCACACCUGUAAUCCCAGUUACUUGGGAGGCUGAGGCAGGAGAAUCACUUGAACCCAGGAGGCAGAGGUUGCAGUGGGCUGAGAUUGCGCGAUUGCACUCCAGCCUGGGCAAAAAGAGCAAAACUCCGUCUCAAAAAACAAAACAAAAUAAAAUAAAAUAAAAUAAAAUAAUGAAAUGAAUAGGAUGAAUCACUCAUUUUAUUACUAUAUAAUAUUUUAUAUGCAACACCAUGGAUAAGUCUCACAGAUAUAGCCAAUGAAAGAAUUCAGACAAAAUAAAGCACAUAUUUAAUGAUUCCAUUUAAAAUUAAGAAAUAGACAAAUUCAUGAUUAUAAAUGUGAAAAUAACUGUUAUAUUUGAGGGCAGCUAAUGACUUGAGAGGGUGCACAAGUGGGAGACCUCUAGGUGGUAAGUUCACUUUAUAAAAUUUAACUUAAGGUUUGUAUACUUUGCUGCAUAUAUAUUAUAUUUGGAUAAAAAAAGAGUUUAAAACAAAAGCAAAAACAAACAAACCUCCUUUGGAACAAUAUCACCUGUAAGAAAACUCAGAUUACCUUAUCAUGAGGCUACCUUUGAUCAGUGGGUGUUAAGAUUUUUCAUAAUGUGAUGGACAUGCCAGUUAGAAUAAAUUUAAAAUAUUGUGAAGCAUUUUAGACACUCUGAUAUGCAUUUUGCAUAUUUCUUUUGUAUAUAACCCAUUGGUUUUUAAUAAGUAUCCUUUGACUAAUUAUCUCCUCUUGGGAAUUUACAUAAUAUAUAAACUAACUAAAACUUGAAUAAGAUUAUUGUGCUUCUUAGAGAUAUUGGCUUAUAAAUAAUAAGCUGAUUACCUUAAUUUCAUCAAGCCACACCAUUCAUCCAGUGUGCUUCAUUUUAUCCUAAAAAUUUAGCCAAAAAAAAACAUUGAAAUUCACUGCAAUACUUUCUAGAAAUUUGGUCAGGCUAUACAUUAAUGACAGCUAAAUUAGCACAGACACUAUCUAUUCAUGUCCCACUGCCCUUUAUUUGAUAGUCACUGUCAUUUCUAUGGCUUCUAUACGUACAAACUGAUUUAAUUUCUCUCAUCAGCCAAUGCAUCUAGAUGUUCCUAACAAACACAAACCCCAAUGAAGACAAAACUCAAGCCAAUUUUCAAGGGAAAUGAUUUAAUUCUUUAGAGCCUGUUACUCCAAAUCCUUGUUUGGCUUCUUAAGCUUGUUUUCAAUGUUUGGUUCAAUGGUUAGCUAAAGGCCACAUAAUGCAUGAGUUGGUAUGUGGUUAAAACUAGAGCUUUGAUAUUUCUUAUAGUCAGCCAUUGCUUUUUUCACAGCCCUAAUAAUGUUACAUAAUUAUAUUGAACACUGUUAAGCUAACUUGAGAAAUAAGUACCAACCAAGCAACUUCUGGUAAUUGCCACCUUUAGUAUUACUUCUCGUGGAUGCCCGGCAGACUAUUUUUAGAGUCUUUAAAAAUAUAUGCAACUAUUUCCAAACUAAAUCAUGCUGUUUGGGAAUGCUGGAACUAAUUUUUGGUACAUGUGAAAUGAACACAAUAAAAAACAUUUGAUUCCUAAGCAAGGAAGUGGUACAAAGCGGAGUUGCUUCUUUUGCCUGAUAUUUUUGGAAACACAAAGCUUCUGCAAGGACUGCAAACUGGAAAUGAACGCAUGCUGUUGCUGGGCGAGCUUUCCUCCAUGUUUCUCUCAAGAACUGAAAUGUCUUGAUUUUUAUAUGCAUUUAUACCUCCCUGUGUAAGUUUUGGCCAUAUGUGCCUAGCUGGGGUAUACUCAUUGCAUACAUAACCAAAAAUAAAUGAAGUGAAUAAAAUUGUUCUUUUUUCAUUAAUUCAAUUAUGUUGCCAUCCAUGAUCUGAAAACAAGAGUAUGCAAAACACCUAAAGCAUUUGUGAAUCAAUGUUUUAGAUACAUUCCAGAGGUUGAAAACUUGUUUCCUUCAAAUUACAUUGGGUGUUCCCAUAUCUUGUGUUUUACCAACAUUUAAAUAUUCUUAUCCAGGUGCAGUGGCUCACGCCUGUAAUCCCAACCCUUUGGGAGGCUGAGGCGGGCAGAUCACGAGGUCAGGAGUUCGAGACCAGCCUGGCCAACAUGGUUUAACACCAUCUCUCCUAAAAAUACAAAAAUUAGCUGGGCAUUGUGGGGGGCACCCGUAAUCCCAGGUACUCAGGAGGCUGAGGCAGGAGAAUUGUUUGAACCUGGGAGGUGGAGGUUGCGAUGAGCCAAGAUCACACCAUUGCACUCCAGCCUGGGCAAUAGGGCGAGACACCUUCUCAAAAAAAAAAAAAAAAAAGAAAAGAAAAAAAAAGAAAAAAAAUUGCUUGUCAACAUCUGCUGGAAUGGGAGAAUGUUUGUCUAUUUGAGACAGGGCAAGAGUUCUGUACCUCACUAAAGACCUCCAUCCCCAAUAGUCUAACACUUACCAUUCACUUAUUUAUAUUAUCUCCUUGUCCUGCCUGAGUAGGCUUUUUAGUUAUGUGAUCUCUGACCUUAGAAAAGUAGUCUUGGAAAGAACUAUCUACUUUUCCAUAAAUUUGUUGCAACUAUCUGCAUCUAUCUUUAAAUGAAGAGUAUUUGAAUACUCUCUUAAAGCCUCAUUAAGUCUGAGGUAAUUGAACUGAUUUCCUAAAAAUGAACAGAACCAAAAAUUAGGCUAAAGAGAUGGCCACAGCAAAAUUUGGUUUUGUUUUAAUAUUAAUAAAACUGUUAUAUUUGACAAGAUGAGGCAAGGGGAAGGGGGAAUCACGGUACAUAAUAUUCAAAAUUGGUCAUCUUUUUUCUUAUGUGUGCAUUUAUACUAUUUCUUGUCAUACUAAAAUCACAAAAGAAUUUUACAAAUCAAAUAAGAAUCCAGGCAGUGCAUUUGUGACAGAUUAUUGGCAUGCUAGAAAAUGCAUUUAAGUUAUCUUUGGAAAGGAUGAUUACAAAUUGGCACUAAAAUUAUUCAUCCAUUAAGGAUCUACUGACAUGUCAUCAUGUCAUAGAAAUUAAUAGAAAAGAAAUCAUUCUAUUACCUCUAAAGAGGUAAUUCCACCUAGUCCUACAUUUUUCUUCAGAAGUAUGUUUAUUAGCACCUAGCCUGUCUAUCUGACUAGACCCAUCCAUUCAGUCUUACUUUCUGCACUAUCCAGAAGAAUUAUUUCAAUUAUAUUUAAAAAAGCAGGUCCUGAAUUGACAGACUGUUUUAAAAGUUUUCAUUGGAAUGAGUGCCGACUGGCCUGUGUGGCAAAAAUUUAAGAACUGAAUUCAUUAAUUAGGUAUAUGGAGACAACUGUACCCCCUCCAGGAGUGAGCAGGUAAUCUUAAGAUGACUUUCUAUCCAGUGGUUAGGAAGCAUUAUUUGCAGAAUUUCUGAGGCCAGGAUCCUCAAACAGACAUUAAGGAAGUCAUAGAAGUGGUCUGAAAGGUGUGCAAAGUCUGCUGAUGAGACACUUAACACUGGGCAAUGAGGAAAAUCCAGGUAAGCAGUCAAUUAUUAGGUAAUCAGAGAGCAAGAAGCACGGCUCCAACACAGGUUUCUAAUCCUUGGGCAGGUCUUCAGCUCCCGGACAUAGAAGAGCAAGACAUGUAUGGAAAAAUGCUAUCGUGGGAGGAGACAAGGGUAUGAUUCAAGUGCUGGGAUGUUGUUAAAGAAAAAAGACACGAUAGUGAUCUGAAAGAAAAAAUGAAAAGAGCUUUGGAUGUGUGGAGCAUUAAGCCUUUCUCACCUAGAAUCAGUUUGUUGCAAUAAUCCACAACGGCUAACAGCAUAUUCAUGAACUCAGAUCACUGAAGAAAUACCUAUUAACCAGAGAAAAUACGUACAGGAAAAAUGGAGAAGAAACGAGCUGGCAUUACAAGAGGAUGGCGUUGAUCCUACAAUGAAAAUUUUAGGAAAUGGGGCACACAAGCAACUAUGGACAAAGAAUGUCAAAGGAACUUCCUAAGAACAUGGAGAGACAUCAUCAAUCAUAGUACAGGAAACACUGAUGUUUGAAGAGUAACAUGGUAGAAAAUUGAACAAUAAUACUUAUGAUGGCAACGUAGUGUGAAGGCAGAAAGCUGAAGGGCUUGAAAAAUAAAGGGAAACAGUCUCACUUUGAGGGUGGCCGCACAGUGACCAAAGCAGCACUUUAAAAUAAAGUUUGUUUUUAAAUAUAAUGAAAA